rnacentral:rRNA from 1 species
AUUGAACGCUGGCGGCAGGCCUAACACAUGCAAGUCGAGCGGAGCGGCGGACGGGUGAGUAAUGCCUAGGAAUCUGCCUGGUAGUGGGGGCUCACGUCCGUAAACGGGCGCUAAUACCGCAUACUAUCAGAUGAGCCUAGGUCGGAUUAGCUAGUUGGUGGGGUAAAGGCCUACCAAGGCGACGAUCCGUAACUGGGCGGAGAGGAUGAUUAGUCACACUGGAACUGAGACACGGUCCAGACGCCUACGUGAGGCAGCAGUUGGGAAUAUUGGAAAAGGGGCGAAAGCCUGAUCCAGCCAUGGCGCGUGUGUGAAGAAGUUCUUCGGAUGGUAAAGCACUUUAAGUUGGGAGGCGUUACCAACAGAAUAAGCACCGGCUAACUUCGUGCCAGCAGCCGCGGUAAUUC